rnacentral:misc_RNA from 1 species
GAUGAAGAACGUAGCGAAAUGCGAUAAGUAAUGUGAAUUGCAGAAUUCAGUGAAUCAUCGAAUCUUUGAACGCACAUUGCGCCCGCCAGUAUUCUGGCGGGCAUGCCUGUUCGAGCGUCAUUUCAACCCUCAGGCCCCCAGUGCCUGGUGUUGGGGAUCGGCCCAGCCUUCCUGUAAGGCCGCCGGCCCCGAAAUCUGGUGGCGGUCUCGCUGUAGUCCUCCUCUGCGUAGUAGCACAACCUCGCAGUUGGAACGCGGCGGUGGCCAUGCCGUUAAACACCCCACUUCUGAAAGUUGACCUCGGAUCAGGUAGGAAUACCCGCUGAACUUAAGCAUAUCAAUAAGCGGAGGA